rnacentral:rRNA from 1 species
GACGAACGCUGGCGGCGUGCUUAACACAUGCAAGUCGAACGGAAAGGCCCUGCUUUUGUGGGGUGCUCGAGUGGCGAACGGGUGAGUAACACGUGAGUAACCUGCCCUUGACUUUGGGAUAACUUCAGGAAACUGGGGCUAAUACCGGAUAGGAGCUCCUGCUGCAUGGUGGGGGUUGGAAAGUUUCGGCGGUUGGGGAUGGACUCGCGGCUUAUCAGCUUGUUGGUGGGGUAGUGGCUUAUCAAGGCUUUGACGGGUAGCCGGCCUGAGAGGGUGACCGGCCACAUUGGGACUGAGAUACGGCCCAGACUCCUACGGGAGGCAGCAGUGGGGAAUAUUGCACAAUGGGCGGAAGCCUGAUGCAGCAACGCCGCGUGCGGGAUGACGGCCUUCGGGUUGUAAACCGCUUUCGCCUGUGACGAAGCGUGAGUGACGGUAAUGGGUAAAGAAGCACCGGCUAACUACGUGCCAGCAGCCGCGGUGAUACGUAGGGUGCGAGCGUUGUCCGGAUUUAUUGGGCGUAAAGGGCUCGUAGGUGGUUGAUCGCGUCGGAAGUGUAAUCUUGGGGCUUAACCCUGAGCGUGCUUUCGAUACGGGUUGACUUGAGGAAGGUAGGGGAGAAUGGAAUUCCUGGUGGAGCGGUGGAAUGCGCAGAUAUCAGGAGGAACACCAGUGGCGAAGGCGGUUCUCUGGGCCUUUCCUGACGCUGAGGAGCGAAAGCGUGGGGAGCGAACAGGCUUAGAUACCCUGGUAGUCCACGCUGUAAACGGUGGGUACUAGGUGUGGGGUCCAUUCCACGGGUUCCGUGCCGUAGCUAACGCUUUAAGUACCCCGCCUGGGGAGUACGGCCGCAAGGCUAAAACUCAAAGGAAUUGACGGGGCCCCGCACAAGCGGCGGAGCAUGCGGAUUAAUUCGAUGCAACGCGUAGAACCUUACCUGGGUUUGACAUGGAUCGGGAGUGCUCAGAGAUGGGUGUGCCUCUUUUGGGGUCGGUUCACAGGUGGUGCAUGCCUGUCGUCAGCUCGUGUCGUGAGAUGUUGGGUUAAGUCCCGCAACGAGCGCAACCCUUGUUCACUGUUGCCAGCACGUUAUGGUGGGGACUCAGUGGAGACCGCCGGGGUCAACUCGGAGGAAGGUGGGGAUGACGUCAAGUCCUCAUGCCCCUUAUGUCCAGGGCUUCACGCAUGCUACAAUGGCUGGUACAGAGAGUGGCGAGCCUGUGAGGGUGAGCGAAUCUCGGAAAGCCGGUCUCAGUUCGGAUUGGGGUCUGCAACUCGACCCCAUGAAGUCGGAGUCGCUAGUAAUCGCAGAUCAGCAACGCUGCGGUGAAUACGUUCCCGGG